UAUCAUUUUCUUAGUAACCCUUAUUUUAAGUAGGGGGGGUAGUGAAACGACCAUCUACUUUUGAUUUUAAAAUGGAAACCUAAAUUGAAAAUGCCUUAAAUUUAUGGAGUUUAAAAUUUUGUUUUCCGUCAACCAGUUCAUGAGAUAUUCCACUUUUAAGUUUUGGUGGAAGAAGAGUAGUGAAACACUAUUAAAAUACCACUUGUCGUGCUACUACACAAAUUAAAUAUUUAAUGAAUCACUCUGUAUACAUAUUUAUAUAUAUAAGAGACUACCUAUAAAGAUUAUAAUGUUUAGGAG